GAAAUGCGAUAAGUAAUGUGAAUUGCAGAAUUCAGUGAAUCAUCGAAUCUUUGAACGCACAUUGCGCCCGCCAGUAUUCUGGCGGGCAUGCCUGAUCGAGCGUCAUUUCAACCAUCAAGCCCCCGGGCUUGUGUUGGGGACCUGCGGCUGCCGCAGGCCCCGAAAACCAGUGGCGGGCUCGCUGUCACACCGGGCGUAGUAGAUUUUUCGUCUCGCCCAGGGCGUGCUGCGGGUUCCGGCCGUUAAAAAGCCUCUCUUUUAACCCAAGGUUGACCUCGGAUCAGGUAGGAAGACCCGCUGAACUUAAGC
rnacentral:misc_RNA from 1 species